UGUUGGUUCUCCCGCAACGCUACUCUGUUUACUAGGUCAGGUCCGGAAGGAAGCAGCCAAGGCAGAUGACGCGUGUGCCGGGAUGUAGCUGGCAGGCC
rnacentral:SRP_RNA from 1 species